GCCUGGCACGGUGGCGCAUGCCUGUAAUCCAGCAGCUUGGGAGGCUGAGGCAGGGGGAUCAUGAGUUCAAAACCAGCCUCAGUGACUUGGCAAGGCCCUAGGCAACUCAGAGAGACCCUGUCUCUA
rnacentral:sRNA from 1 species